CCUACGGGUGGCAGCAGUGAGGAAUAUUGGUCAAUGGGCGCUAGCCUGAACCAGCCAAGCAGCGUGAAGGAUGACUGCCCUAUGGGUUGUAAACUUCUUUUAUAUGGGAAUAAAAUGUUCCACGUGUGGGAUUUCGUAUGUACCUUAUGAAUAAGGAUCGGCUAACUCCGUGCCAGCAGCCGCGGUAAUCCGGAGGGUCCGAGCGUUAUCCGGAUAUAUUGGGUUUAAAGGGUGCGUAGGGGGAUUGUUAAGUCAGUUGUGAAAGUUUGCGGCUCAACCGUAAGAUUGCAGUUGAAACUGGCAGGCUUGAGUACGGUAGGGGGGAGCGGGAUUCGUGGGGGAGCGGUGAAAUGCU
rnacentral:rRNA from 1 species